rfam:Dictyocaulus viviparus strain HannoverDv2000 D_viviparus-1.0_Cont189.5, whole genome shotgun sequence.
CACCUCUGGCUCCAGUGCAUUUAAUCGAGAAAAUCUUUCGCCUUUUACUAAAGAUUUCCGUGCACCGGAGCAAUUAUGAGUAUCAAAUAAUUUUUGGAGUCCCCUCGAAAGAGUGGGAU